UACGUAGGGUCCGAGCGUUGUCCGGAAUUACUGGGCGUAAAGAGCUCGUAGGUGGUUUGUCGCGUUGUCCGUGAAAACUCACAGCUCAACUGUGGGCCUGCAGCCGAUACGGGCAGACUAGAGUUCGGCAGGGGAGACUGGAAUUCCUGGUGUAGCGGUGAAAUGCGCAGAUAUCAGGAGGAACACCCGUGGCGAAGGCGGCUCUCUGGAACGCAACUGACGCUGAGACGCGAAAAGCGUGGGGAGCAAACAGG
rnacentral:rRNA from 1 species